rfam:Brachypodium distachyon strain Bd21 chromosome 3, whole genome shotgun sequence.
ACGACCUUACUUGAACAGGAUAUGUUCUAUAGGAUCGUACCGCUACAUCCUUUACCAAAAAGGAGGCAAUAACUUGUUACCGCUACGCACUAUGUAGAGUAAAAUAUACUGUAGUUUGUCAAUACUUUAGUUUUUUAAAUACCUUGUUACCAAACAUAGCCUAAGUCUGGUUGAUGCAUUCUGACUUGGGGCCAGAGCGUGAUUAACGGCCUGGGUUACUGCCUGGUUCACGCCGGUGCAGGGUGGCCCAGAGGUUGUCUGACAGACU